rnacentral:rRNA from 1 species
GGAUUAGAUACCCUGGUAGUCCACACCGUAAACGAUGAGUGCUAGUUGUCUGCAGGCAUGCCUGUAGGUGACGCAGCUAACGCAUUAAGCACUCCGCCUGGGGAGUACGGCCGCAAGGUUAAAACUCAAAGAAAUUGACGGGGGCCCGCACAAGCGGUGGAGCAUGUGGUUUAAUUCGAAGCAACGCGCAGAACCUUACCUACGCUUGACAUGCCUGGACGACUCCGAGAGAUCGGUUUCUCCCUUCGGGGCCAGUGCACAGGUGCUGCAUGGCUGUCGUCAGCUCGUGCCG